GGUUUCUUGAAAAUUAUAAGAAAUUUAACCUGCCCACUGAAAGUUUUAAAGGGCCGCAGUAUUUUGACUGUGCAAAGGUAGCAUAAUAAUUAGUCUUUUAAUUGAAGGCUGGAAUGAAUGGUUGGAUGAGGUAAAAACUAUUUUAUGUUAAAGGAUUGAAUUUAGAUUUUAAGUAAAAAGACUUAAAUAAAAUUAAGGGACGAGAAGACCCUAUAGAGUUUAAUAAACAUAUUUUUAAUUAAGUUUAAGAUAAAUUUUUAAUUAUUAUAUUUUGUAUUAUUUAAUUGGGGUGAUUAGAAAAUAAGUGAAACUUUUCUUUAAUAUAAAUAUGAUUAAGUAGAAGUAAGAUCCAUAAAUAAUGAUUAAAAGAUUAAAUUACCUUAGGGAUAACAGCAUAAUAUUUUUAAAAAGUUCAUAUUGAAAAAAGUGAUUAUGACCUCGAUGUUGGAUUAAGAUAAAUUCUGGGUGCAGAUGUUCAGAAAUUAGGUCUGUUCGACCUUUAAAAUCUUACA
rnacentral:rRNA from 1 species